CAAGAGUUGAAGGGAGUUCACUGAUCCUUCUUGUGGUCUUCCACUUGUGAUCAGCUGCUGUUCUGUAAGAAGCUUUCCUGAACAGUUCAAGUAAAUUCCAAACCUCAUAAAUAGGAAGCAAGUGUUCCUGGUUUCAUGUGGAUACUCCUACUGGUGAACUGAUUCUUCUGGAUGCCGGUGCGAUUGGGAAUGCAUUAAUGGAUGACCAUCUUCGUCUGCUGUAGUGGGCAAAUUUUCAACCUUUGCAACUAAACUGUGGAUCUGCAGUGGGUGAGAGGAAGCAAGAACACAUUCCUCAGUUGAG